rnacentral:rRNA from 1 species
UACGGGGGGAGCAAGCGUUGUUCGGAUUUACUGGGCGUAAAGCGUGCGCAGGCGGUUUUGUAAGCCAGAUGUGAAAGCCCCGGGCUUAACCUGGGAAUGGCAUUUGGGACUGCAAGGCUUGAGUGCGGCAGAGGAGACUGGAAUUCCUGGUGUAGCAGUGAAAUGCGUAGAUAUCAGGAGGAAUACCGAUGGCGAAGGCAGGUCUCUGGGCUGACACUGACGCUCAUGCACGAAAGCGUGGGGAGCAAACAGG